GGAGGCCGAGCUCUCUUCCUCCAAACCCCAGUGGUCAGACCUGCUCAAAUCUCAGCAUUUCUCCAGGACCAACCCACCCCAGGAUGGUGUGGAAUACAGCACAUUCACCUGUCACCCAGCCGCCAUUCUGGUUCCAAGGCUGCGUCUCUCCACUGGACUGGUGAGAGGGUUGUCAGUGUAUUGCUCCUGGGCCUACUUCCAGCUGCUUAUUUGAAUCCUUCUACUGCGAUGGACUACUCCCUGGCUGCGGUCCUUUCUCUCCAUAGUCACUGGGGCCUUGGACAAGUUGUUACUGACUAU